rnacentral:rRNA from 1 species
CACGUAGGCACCAAGCGUUGUCCGGAUUUAUUGGGCGUAAAGAGCUCGUAGGCGGUUCGAUAAGUCGGAUGUGAAAGCCCCGGGCUCAACCCGGGAAGUGCACUCGAUACUGCCGAGCUAGAGUAUCGGAGAGGUUGGUGGAAUUCUCGGUGUAGAGGUGAAAUUCGUAGAUAUCGAGAGGAACACCGGUGGCGAAGGCGGCCAACUGGACGAAUACUGACGCUGAGACUCGAAAGCGUGGGGAGCAAACAGG